GGCCGCUGAUGAUGAGCCAGGUGAAUGUCUGGGCCUCGUUGAGGGGCUGCCUUCAUAGUCUUGUCGCCUUGGAUUUAGAGGCCCGCGCCUUUCCCUUCCGCCACGUAUUUGCCGCUGCCUCUCCUCUGGCGUAAGUAAAUACGGCUUGCCAUGGAUCCUAAACCAUGGCAUGUAUUCUGGAACGCACGCUAACUCUGGAACGAUGAUUUCUUCCCGAAUAGGUAGAUAUUCA
rnacentral:lncRNA from 1 species